GCCUAAUACAUGCAAGUCGAACGCACAGCGAAAGGUGCUUGCACCUUUCAAGUGAGUGGCGAACGGGUGAGUAACACGUGGACAACCUGCCUCAAGGCUGGGGAUAACAUUUGGAAACAGAUGCUAAUACCGAAUAAAACUUAGUGUCGCAUGACACAAAGUUAAAAGGCGCUUCGGCGUCACCUAGAGAUGGAUCCGCGGUGCAUUAGUUAGUUGGUGGGGUAAAGGCCUACCAAGACAAUGAUGCAUAGCCGAGUUGAGAGACUGAUCGGCCACAUUGGGACUGAGACACGGCCCAAACUCCUACGGGAGGCUGCAGUAGGGAAUCUUCCACAAUGGGCGAAAGCCUGAUGGAGCAACGCCGCGUGUGUGAUGAAGGCUUUCGGGUCGUAAAGCACUGUUGUAUGGGAAGAACAGCUAGAAUAGGAAAUGAUUUUAGUUUGACGGUACCAUACCAGAAAGGGACGGCUAAAUACGUGCCAGCAGCCGCGGUAAUACGUAUGUCCCGAGCGUUAUCCGGAUUUAUUGGGCGUAAAGCGAGCGCAGACGGUUUAUUAAGUCUGAUGUGAAAGCCCGGAGCUCAACUCCGGAAUGGCAUUGGAAACUGGUUAACUUGAGUGCAGUAGAGGUAAGUGGAACUCCAUGUGUAGCGGUGGAAUGCGUAGAUAUAUGGAAGAACACCAGUGGCGAAGGCGGCUUACUGGACUGCAACUGACGUUGAGGCUC
rnacentral:rRNA from 1 species